CACAAGUGAAAAAAAACCCACACACACAAAAAAAAAAACCAUUUAUUUUCUGCUGGUUUAGCAAACAGACAAGAUUCUUCAAGGUGAUUGUUAGAUCUGACGCAAGGUAGCUGGGGGUGGGAGCAGGCUAAACUUGGACAACUUUUGGUGGCUGCCUGCUAUGAUAUUGAGAGGUUCCUCUUCCAGCAAUCCCUGAGAAUUUACUACAUUUUGGAAGUGAAGACUUUUCAGUCUGAACACAAGAAAAGGAGGGAGCAGAUAAGCAGAG
rnacentral:lncRNA from 1 species